AACCCCUAAAAAACCCCAAAAUGACCCAAAAAUACCCCAAAAAACCCCCCAAAAUGACCAAAAAAAACCCCAAAAAAACCCCAAAAUGACCCCAAAAAACCCCUAAAAAACCCAAAAGACCCCAAAAAAACUCAAGAAAUCCCCAAAAUGACCCAAAAAUGACCCAAAUAUGACCCAAAAGACCCCAAAAGAAACCCCAAAAUGACCCAAAAUACCCCAAAAUGACCCCAAAAAACCCCUAAAAAACCCUAAAAUGACCCCAAAAAAACCCCAAAAAACCCCAAAAUGACCCAAAAAACCCCAAAAAAACCCCAAAAAAACCCAAAAUGACCCAAAAAACCCCAAAAUGACCCCAAAUAGGACCCAUAAAUGACCCCAAAAAACCCCAAAAUGACCCCAAAUACCCCAAAAAACCCCAAAAUGACCCCAAAAAUCACCCAAAAAACCCUAAAAUGACCCAAAAUCCCCUCACCCUCUGCCUGGUCCUCCGAGGCCUGUUGGUCCUCCAAAGCCUGUCGGUCCUCCAAGGCCUGUUUGUCCUUCACCUCUCUAUGCUCCAGGGCCUGUUUGUCCUCCAGGACUCUUUGGUCCUCCAGCUCUCGGUCCUCCGAGGCCUGUCGGUCCUCCAAAGCCUGUCGGUCCUCCAGGGCUUGUUUGUCCUUCACUUCUUGUCUGCUCUCCUCUUCCUCAUUAGCAAACAUAUCGAUGGCUUCUGAUUGGACGCGGGUGGGACCCCCGCCAUCUUGAUCUUCAUCAUCAUCAUCAUCAUCAUCAUCAAUAUGGCGUCGUGUGGACUUCCUGUGGGGAUAGGGGGGGAUAUGGGGCUGUUAUGGGGUGAUAUGGGGUCUCUAUGGGGCACCAUGGGGUCUCUGUGGGUCCCUAUGGGUCUCUAUGGGGUCUCUAUGGGUCUCUAUGGGUCCCUAUGGGUCUCUAUGGGUCCCUAUGGGGUCUCUAUGGGUCCCUAUGGGGUCCCUAUGGGGUCUCUAUGGGUCCCUAUGGGGUCUCUAUGGGUCUCUAUGGGUCCCUAUGGGGUCUCUAUGGGUCCCUAUGGGUCUCUAUGGGUCCCUAUGGGGUGGUUAUGGGUCCCUAUGGGUCUCUAUGGGUCUCUGUGGGGUCUCUAUGGGUCCCUAUGUAUCCCUAUGU
rnacentral:lncRNA from 1 species